GCGGACCGACGGUGCUGCCUAUAUAUAGAGCCAUGGAGGCCGCCCGCCACUCUCUCUUCCCCUUCUCUCCCGACGAUGCAUCCGAAUCCGGCGAGCGGAGUCGAGGCCUUUUUCGUGCGAGAGGCUGGAGUGGAUGGCGAGACGAGCGGGGACGAGCCUGGCGUCGGCCUUCUUCUUCGAGUCCCCGAAGCCGGUAAUCCUGCUAUCAACCUCCACCGCCGCCGGAAGACGUAUCAGAAGAUUUAUCCAUUCUUUUUCAAUGGCUGUCUUUCAUGUGCAUAUCUGCCUGCAGAUGGCAAACGGGGACUUAAAUAGAUAAUUUGCUGCUAUAGGAAUCUCUUUCUGUCUUGCUUUUGAACCAGUGACAGUUUUAUUUAAUGAAACUGAAGGAUGUAUGCUGUUUGUUUUAUUUUCUCCAGCAGUGCUUGAUGUUGCAGAAUCUAUAUAUCUUUGUGGCAUGUUGUAAGCGGACUUCCAAUAUGUCAUGACUCUUUUUUAGUAUAUAUUUGAAGUAUUUUUAUUAAUAUAUUGGUUGAUUAUAAGGUUGCGUCA